rnacentral:ncRNA from 1 species
AGAACUAAUGAUCUUGAAGUAAGGAAUGAUAAGGUAACGCUUUGAAACUUACUCUUUGAUACUCCGACAUGCAUGUAUAAAGGAAACUUAACAUGUAUGAAGCUCGGUAAAGUCGGCAGAAGCAAGUCUAAGUCAAUGAAAUAAUUGAGUAUGAUUGGUACAAAAGAGGCUAGAGCUCGCCCGUCAAGAAAGAUUAAAGUAAAAGAUAUGAUUUGUGAUAUGUCGGAAGCCUAUAA